rnacentral:piRNA from 1 species
CCCAAGCAGAUGGUUGGUGGUGGAAACGU